GAAGAUAGAGAAUCAAAUGACCGCAUUGCACCGAGUGAUCGGGAUGCUUCAGUAAUGAGAGCUCUUCGUUUUCUUGGAGCCCUAGAGAAACAGAAACUAAAACCCAUCACUGAAAGGGGGUUGAUGUACGUCGAUUUGCUAAUUAAUGGGAAAAUAAAAGGGCUUUAGUGGACACAGAAGCCACUGAUAAUUUUGUGGCAGACACUAUGGUCUCUCGAUUCAAGCUAACAGUACAAGCGGAUGCAGGAAAGAUAAAGGCCGUGAAUUCUCAGGCACUAAACACAGUAGGAGUAGCUCAGAGAGUAUCCUGUCAAAUGGGACCCUGGAGAGGUGAAAUGGAUUUUACAAUAAUCCCUCUUGAUGACCAUGAUGUGGUGAUUGGGAUGGAUUUCCUCAAGAGAGUGCGAGCCAUUCCAGUCCCAGCCGCUAAUUGCAUUUUGGUGAUGGGAGAUAAACCUUGCACGAUUCCAACAUCUUUCAGUCUCAUUUUUUAGAGGAAGUUAAUAUUGGCUCUCCAAUUCAAGAAAGGCGUGAAGCACAAGAAGCCCACGUAUGUGGUCGUCCCCAUUAUGAAGGAAAGCAUGGAAGAGUCACAACCUACACCCCAAAUCCUAGACCUCAUGUUCGAGUUUAAAGAUGUAAUGCCGGAUCGACUGCCUGCAGCCCUACCUCCCCAUCGCAGCAUAGAUCAUGAGAUUGAAUUGAUGCCAGGGACGAGGCCUCCCGCUAAGGCUCCUUAUCGU
rnacentral:misc_RNA from 1 species